rnacentral:rRNA from 1 species
CUUAACACAUGCAAGUCGAGGGGCAUCAGGAAGAAAGCUUGCUUUCUUUGCUGGCGACCGGCGCACGGGUGAGUAACACGUAUCCAACCUGCCCUUUACUCGGGGAUAGCCUUUCGAAAGAAAGAUUAAUACCCGAUAGCAUAAUGAUUCCGCAUGGUUUCAUUAUUAAAGGAUUCCGGUAAAGGAUGGGGAUGCGUUCCAUUAGGUUGUUGGUGAGGUAACGGCCCACCAAGCCUUCGAUGGAUAGGGGUUCUGAGAGGAAGGUCCCCCACAUUGGAACUGAGACACGGUCCAAACUCCUACGGGAGGCAGCAGUGAGGAAUAUUGGUCAAUGGGCGCUAGCCUGAACCAGCCAAGUAGCGUGAAGGAUGAAGGCUCUAUGGGUCGUAAACUUCUUUUAUAUAAGAAUAAAGUGCAGUAUGUAUACUGUUUUGUAUGUAUUAUAUGAAUAAGGAUCGGCUAACUCCGUGCCAGCAGCCGCGGUAAUACGGAGGAUCCGAGCGUUAUCCGGAUUUAUUGGGUUUAAAGGGAGCGUAGGUGGACUGGUAAGUCAGUUGUGAAAGUUUGCGGCUCAACCGUAAAAUUGCAGUUGAUACUGUCAGUCUUGAGUACAGUAGAGGUGGGCGGAAUUCGUGGUGUAGCGGUGAAAUGCUUAGAUAUCACGAAGAACUCCGAUUGCGAAGGCAGCUCACUGGACUGCAACUGACACUGAUGCUCGAAAGUGUGGGUAUCAAACAGGAUUAGAUACCCUGGUAGUCCACACAGUAAACGAUGAAUACUCGCUGUUUGCGAUAUACAGUAAGCGGCCAAGCGAAAGCAUUAAGUAUUCCACCUGGGGAGUACGCCGGCAACGGUGAAACUCAAAGGAAUUGACGGGGGCCCGCACAAGCGGAGGAACAUGUGGUUUAAUUCGAUGAUACGCGAGGAACCUUACCCGGGCUUAAAUUGCAGUGGAAUGAUGUGGAAACAUGUCAGUGAGCAAUCACCGCUGUGAAGGUGCUGCAUGGUUGUCGUCAGCUCGUGCCGUGAGGUGUCGGCUUAAGUGCCAUAACGAGCGCAACCCUUAUCUUCAGUUACUAACAGGUUAUGCUGAGGACUCUGGAGAGACUGCCGUCGUAAGAUGUGAGGAAGGUGGGGAUGACGUCAAAUCAGCACGGCCCUUACGUCCGGGGCUACACACGUGUUACAAUGGGGGGUACAGAAGGCAGCUACCUGGUGACAGGAUGCUAAUCCCAAAAGCCUCUCUCAGUUCGGAUCGAAGUCUGCAACCCGACUUCGUGAAGCUGGAUUCGCUAGUAAUCGCGCAUCAGCCACGGCGCGGUGAAUACGUUCCCGGGCCUUGUACACACCGCCCGUCAAGCCAUGGGAGCCGGGGGUACCUGAAGUACGUAACCGCAAGGAUCGUCCUAGGGUAAAACUGGUGACUGGGGCUAAGUCAUA